rnacentral:lncRNA from 1 species
GUUGCAUCAGCAGCAAACUGAGCAAAGGGACAGUGUUCGCUAUUAUAAGGUUUACUCAAUCAACCGGGAAUGGGGGAAAACUGACCCAGAAAUUUUAUGUUUUAGGCCACUACUAAAUGCACACGUGCAUACAGCACUGUGGGGUUUAAAGUGUUACUCCAACCACAAUGACUACUUAUGCUUUUAGAAAUGGCUAUGGUGGUGGUAGGAGUCUGUAUGUGCAGCGUUCCUGCUUGAAACUUACAGAGAUAUAUCUUUAAUUCUGUGCUGAGGGUUAGUUACACACCAGAUACAUGUGACUCAGGCAGUUUGGAACUCUGUUACCUGUGCUCUUAGCCAGCGAAACAUUCCGUCAAAGGUGAGAAGCCUUCAAGUGAAGUUCAGUGACAUAUCAGUAGUCAGAAAUUUUGGCUGUAAAAAGCCAUCUGAAAAUACACUUGCAUAGUAAUAAGCAACAACAACAACAUAAUGGGCUAACUAAUAUCUUCUACGCUGUUUGGCUCCAUCGUGAACACAAAAAGUAAAAUUUUUAGGAAUAUCUAAACCAAGAAAAACAAUAGAGAGGUGUUGGUGGGUGGAGAGGGGCAAUGAUGACUAGUAGUUGCUUCUACAGCCCACAACACAUCCAUGUGCUGCUGUCCAUGACCAUUUGCAGUGGCUACCUCAGUAGAUCACUGUACUAUUUGGAAAAAAAAACCUGAACUAAUAAAAACUGUAUAGCCUAGGUUUGUCAGACGUAUACUUGGAUUGUAGAUUGUGGGUAGCAAUUGCUUUUUUGUUUUACACUUUUUAAUCUUUUGUGUGAAUAUACACAUAUAUUACUUUUGCCCCUUUCUCCCAUUCUGUAGUGUUUUCGUUUUUGCUACAGUAAUAUUGUGGAUAGGAUGUCAUAAUCAACAUAUAUGAAUAUAUUGGUGUUUUUUAUUUGUACUUUAUUGUUUGGAUGCAUAAGUUAUAUAUAUAUAAUGAUUAACAAAGAAUGGGGCACCUCCAUGAUUGACUCUUAAGCAUUGCUACUCAGUUCGUGGUUUUGGGUUUGCGCUUUCCAGUACAAGUUCUUCUCCAGAUUAUAUCAAGACAUAAUUUUCUGCUUAUCAUAGCUAGUGCCGUGACAUUAAUUUGGUAUAUGAGAUAUUUUGUUGCCUUGGGCAGUUUAGGCGGGUAGUUAUGGAGCAGCAUGCAAUCGGGUGUUUUAGGUAAACUAAUCCCCAUGCUAGAGUGGAUUAGUUUGGCCACAGCUGUCCAGUAUGUUGUUAAUUAUGGGCAUUCCCACCAAAUAUGGAGCAUGGUGCCAGUUCCCGUUGUGCAUCUCCAGCACUGGUCUGAAGUGCUUGGCUAAAUUUAUUUAAGGCGCUUUGGUACUAGGUAUCAGCGAUAUAGUAUCUUCCGUGAUAGCACUAUGUGAUUUGCACUUAGUGUGAGUUUUUUAGGAGUUUGGAAUAUAUCCUGCCAUGCAUGCUCAUUAAGAGUAAUGUUGAAGUCUUUUUCCCAUGCCCUGACAAAGGUGUAUCUGAUAUUUAAUUCGCAUUUCAGAAUGCUAGAAUAGAGUUUUGAAAUAUUUUUUACUGCUGGAGUAAUUUUUAGCAUUGUUUUCUCAAAGCUCGUCAGUCGGUGUUCAUGUACAUUUUCUUUAACCCAAGUUUUUUUGUUUUUUUUUAACCAAGAAUGUAUUUUUAAAUAUGAGAAUUACGCUACUGAUGGGAGACUAUACAUCUGUUGCAUUUCUUGAAAAUGUAAUGUUUUGCUGUUCUGAUAGAAUUUUAUUACUUGAUGGGAGGCGAGUAAUUCGCAUAACUUUCUUUACUUAUGCCUCCAGCAGCACAAUUCAAUCAAAUUUUUUAAACUAAUCAGAAACAGGUACAACAUCCAUAUAAAUCCCUGAGAGCCAUCUCACUUCCCCUUUCUUUGCUGCUCCAGCCAGGCACAGGUCAGAGUAAAUUUUUCCCUGCUCAUUAACUUUAUCUUUAUGAGUAGAGGAUUCUAUACUGUCUUAUGUACUGUAUUAUUUAAUGCACUCAUUGCUGUAUGUUACUGUAGUUUGCCCCUGCUCCUUUUCUCCACCUGUCUUCCCUCCUUAUUAUUGUGGGUCUGUCAUUUCCCCACUAACUGGCUGAGCCUGCUCUCACCUCUAUUUAUUCCCUCUCCGCACGCAUCAUGGUGUUUUCACAGUGAUCGCUCGCCUAUUUGCAGUGUUUGGGGACCAGCAGGCAGGGUACUGUGGGGGGAGGGAGUGUGGGGCUCGUUUUUCUGACAGCCGGCGGGCCACGAUCGCGGAUGCGCCGGCAAUAUUUGCGCGUGAUCGGCGGCCAUCUUGCGUACCGCGAGAUUCAGGUCGGCCAUUUUGGUUACAUUUAGCUUCUACUUCACUAUUCUUUUGUUAGGAGCCCAUGUAUUAUACAUUCUGUACAGUACUUUGGUAAUUCUAUCCCACAUGUAUACAGUUCUAAAUAUAUCUACUGAGGCAUGUUUAGUAAUGUUUGAAUAUCAGACCUGGACUAUAUAUUGGCAAUCUGCAGUGUAACCACUGAACAUUUACACUCAGAGAGGAGUGUCACUACUAGGGGUGACCCCAAACUCUCCACUCGGGUGACCCCCCAUUCAAGCAUACAUCAGUACCAUUACAAGCUUACAUCAGUGCUAUUAAUCACUGCUCUACCAGGGGUGAUCCCCAAGCAAGACUUGCACUGCCCUCCAGUGACAAGCAUAUUUUAGUGGUGAUCCCCCUUACCAAUGGAAUGAGCACCCCAUUCGACCUAACAAGAGGCUCAACCCACAUGGCCAUACAAGGUCCACAGGUCAUACCAAUAAUAAUUGAUACGGCACCUCCAUGCUACGGCUGGGGUGAUCCAUUCACCUCCUGACUGUCUUUAGGAGGGAGAACUCACAGUGUUACCGUCUCCACAACAAUACUCUAUAUCAAGGGUGACCCCCUUUGACAAUACAGGGCUCUCUACGCCCUCUUACGGGCUCCGUCCCGAUUAUAUUUGACCGCACAUCCCGAUCUUUUAGAGGGUAACCCCCUCAUUAAUUCACUUUGUGUCUCUAUCCAAUCCAAAUGGUUCUGAUAAACUGACGACACUGGGUGACCCCCAGUUGUACGUGGAGGCCCACACUGUUACAACUCGCUUACUUCUGUACCUGAACCUGUCCUGUCUUCCACAGACAGAAAGACUCAACGGCCAUAGAAUGAGUGAUUCACCUCAAUCACCUCGCCCUGACUUCCAGUCAAUGAUCAAUGCGGCCGUGGCAGCUUCAGUUUGGAAAGCUAUUGCCAAGAUGCUGGUGGACGUUGACGCACCAACAGUGGCGGAGGCUAAGGACCCUGACUACUCUAAAGGGGACACCUCCAUGUCAAAAAGACACUGGAAGGGCACUGUCUCUAGCCCCCGAAAAUCAAAGGGCAAAGCCCCACUCAAGCAGAGUCGCCAGGCAGAACGCCGGGACCCAUCACCUCCGCAUAUCCCAGCCUCUAAAGAUGAGGAACCCUGGCCUCCCCCCUCCCUAGAGAUUAUGGAUGAGUGGAAAGUGGAGAAUGACUGUCAGGAUCUACCAUGGGACGAUCCGGAAUACACUCAAGAAACGACCUGUGACAUUCAUUUCAGGAAACGGGGAUCCCAAAAAUCAUCCGACAUGCCGGAUGAUGGUAAUUUCCUCGAUGCCCAGGGCGCACCCAUGUUCGACCCCCGCAUGAUUCGACACCUGAGAUCAUCGGAGUGGGGACUGCCAGAUCACUUGGCCCAGUUUAUACACUUCUGGUUAAGAAAACCAAUGGAGAAAGAGGUAUGUGCCCGUCUCCAGGCCAAAUGCCCAAGACCAAUACUACCGGACAAGAUAGCGCAUACCCCGGAAUUCAAUACCAUGGUGGUAAUGUUUAUGUCCGGCUCGGGCCGAAACCCACAUAAGAGCAUUGAAAAAGGCCUGAAAGCCUCUCAGGAUAAACUACUGGACAUACUCGGUCCACUGGCGAAGAUCCUGUACUUUGCCUACUUAGCCCUCACCCAAGGCAUUCCUCUGGAUGCCCAUGACGUACGGGAAUGGGUACAACAGGCAAUUUGCAUGUUGGGUAACACGAAUGUGGCCAUAUGCGCGGAAAGACGCAUGGCAACUUUAUGUUAGCUGCUGGAGUUGGGCAAGAAGGAAAUGGGACCCCUGGUGAACGGCAAGCUGUUCGGAGAUUCAUUUAUUACCGAGCUAAAGAAGCACGAGAACAUGUUCACCACCCUGAAUAAAGCCCAGGCGUCCAUCAAGCAGGUGUUCCGCAACCCCGCUCCGCACAGGGUUUUUUUUGGCAGGCUGGUCGCCACCAGCCGUUUCUGGCCCACAGGACCCAGGAAUCAGACUUUGCAAGCCUUCUUCCCAGCCUCAAGCGCCACUUUCUCAAAGGGGAUCCUUCCUUCCCAGAGGGGCUCGUACCCGAGGCCGCGGACUCUUCAACACAGGUGAGCAUUCCACCCUCGAUAUAUUGACAUUCACUUAUAACUGCAGGCAGGCUGUCUCUCUUUUCACAGAACUGGGAGAGGAUCUCCACAGACACCUGGGUCCGCCAAACAGGAAGGGGUUACGUGCUAGAGUUUUCAGACACCCCAGUGCGGAUCAGAUGUCCGCCCCCAAUUCGGGUGUCAACAGAUCACAAAACGCUCAUACACGACGAGAUUCGAGCUCUAUUCGACAAAGGAGCGGUGGAAUUCGCUCCGGACAAUACAGGCUUUUUCAGCAACAUCUUCGUGGUCAAAAACGACAGAAGAUUACUGACCCAUCAUCAAUUUGCGACAACUAAAUGGUAUCUUAAUGUAUCGCCAUUUCAAAAUGGAAGGUAUUCACCUCCAACGAGACCUGCUACUAGAAUCCGACUGGUUCACGCUUACCUGUCCGUCCUCAUAGCACCCGAGAGUCGACUAUUCCUCCGAUUCACAUGGCAAGGUCGCCCAUGCCAGUUCACAUGUCUACCCGUGGUGCUUCAUGAAACUACUGAAACCAGUCAUGGCACAACUGAGGGCAAAAGGUAUUCGCUGUCUCAUAUACCUGGACGACAUAUUGAUAUUCUGCGAAAGUGCUUCCAGGCUACAAUCUCACACGAGGUUUAUUGUGCAAUUUCUGGAAUCAUUAGGCUUCAUAGUGAACAGAAAAAAGUCGUCACUCUCUCCAUCCAGAAUUGUUCAGUUCCUAGGAUUUGAGAUCGACUCAAAAACGUGUGUCCUACGUUUCCCCACUACAAAGAUAGCGGUGAUUUGAAAGGAGUUCUGGAAGGACACCAUUCCUCUUUGCCUCUUGGCCAGAGUGGUCGGAAUGCUAUCGUCCUCCAUUCAAGCGAUCUUCCCAGGACUGCUCCAUUAUCGGGCCAUGCAGCGAUUGAAGGCUCACUACCCGUGGAUGGGACACUCGUACGAGUACUUAUUUUCCCUCCCUGGGGUUUUCCCUCCCUAUAUUCUUGGGACGUUUACAGUUCCUAUAUUAUCAGUAUAAAUUACAUUGCAACAACACUUAUUUAAGUUGUAUUAUUUAAGUUGUAUUGAUGUUGGUUAACGUUUGUCUUACAGGUUAUUACCUUAAGUUGUGGUGAUAAUUAUAAAUGGUUUAUAACAGUUAAAUUGUAUUAUAAUCUUAAUUAUUAAAAGUAUUAAGCUUAAUAUGUGGACACAAGUUGUUUUCCACCACCCUUCACUUGUUUCUGUUCUUUUCAGCAUAAUCAACAUGCAUGUUUCGGAAACUGGACAAGCACGAUCCCUUCACGUUAUGGUUCAAGUUUCGGUUAAUCAAGUCAUCCAGGAUUGUCAUUAUGUUUCCUGAUGUUUCAAUAGACUGUUUUCGCAUCAAAGACAGAGGAAGUGAGAUGGCUGUCAGGGAUUGAUAUGGAUGUUAUACCUGUUUCUGAUUGGUUUAAAAAGUUUGAUUGACUUGUGCUGCU